GGAAGGAUGGCUCAGUGGUAGAGCGCUUGCCUUGCAUGCCUGAGGCCCUGGGUUC
rnacentral:tRNA from 1 species